CAGGCACUCGAGUGGCAUAAUGGAGGCGGCGGAUGGUGUCUCGUAAGAAGGACCCUGAAAAGCGGCUCUUUGUGCGCCACAACUCCGCGAUCGGGCGACCGGAGGCGCGAGCCACCGUCUAGAGCGGACUCGGACGUAGCCGGGCGGGGUCGGAGCAGCCUGGCGUGCGAGCGGCCCGCGUCGCCGACGGUCAGCGGGUUCGCAAGCGACACGACCGCUUCUCCGUCGCUGCCGCGUGCUCCCCGCACGCACGCCGCGAGGCUUUACGGGCCCCGGGGGCGAAAGCUGCGCCGAGCGCCGAAACGCUCCCUCGAGCGCGAGUCGCUCUCCGAACACGCUUCUUACGACGACGCGAGGGAUCGCGGCCCGCGUGCGGCGCAUCGGAUCGACCGCUUCCAAACGAGGGCCCGCGGAUCUUCGGGACGCGGAGAGGAGCGCGGCUCCCCGACGCCGGCUUCGCCAACGGCACCUCGUCUCCUCAGACCUGAGAAACGCUCCAAAAGCACCAACGAAGCGCUGCAAGUCUGCAAAUGCUGGUACUGGGCUGCCCGCCCCUGCCACGGGUCGGGUCGGGUUCGGUUCGGUUCUCUCCUCUCCAACUUUGGCUACUCUGACCUGGGACGAGCGAACCCUCGGCCAACCUUCGGACACCCCCGUCGCCGUGCAAAAACUAACGUUCGUCCGUCAUCGAUACGCACGGGUCCAAACGCUGGGUCGCCGUGGCCCGCGCCGUGGCUCUCGGUGUCGAGGAGCGAGGGCCACUUGGCCGAAGCGAAAGGUGGUGACGCGUGGUCCGAGGCUGCGGAGCUUCAGUUUCAAGCGAGGCUCGCAGUUUAGUCGUUUCCCCUUUUUUGUCAUGUGGGUUGAGGCUGGAACUCGCGCCGUUAAGUGAACUUUAACUGCGAGAUUAAAACUGGUUUGUGCCGUUUUAUCAGAAAUUAAAACGAAAUUCUACAUUUUUCACGGGGCAGCCGAUAGCGUAGGUGAGAGCGGCUGCCUUCGGACCUGAAGGCGGGAGGUUUGAAUCCCACCUGCCGUUACACGUGAUCCGAUGGCUCGAAGCUCAUACUAUUAUACCAUACGACAUAUAUCAUACAACGUAUUACAUACAUUAAACCUGCGUAACCACGCUAAGCAAACAGCGGGUGGCGUUUCACUUUUACAGGUGUGUAAAUAGACGAAGGACUCGCCUAUCCGCGUGACCCGAACGUCCCCGUCAGCCUGCGGACCGGCGCUCUUCGAGAACCGCUGCUCCGGAGUCUAUCCCGGAAGCACGAGGCGAGAGGCAGAGCGCGUCCUGGACCGCGGGGCGAUGGCACGCUCUCGCCGACACACGCGCCAACCUACGAGGCCUUGAUCGCGCGAACCGAUCGAGGUCGGUGACGAAGGGUCGUCUCGCUCCGCCGUCCGACUCCUCGGACCUCCUCCUUCCCCGCCAAAACCGACCCGCGAGCCGAGGACAAGGGGAACCGGAGGUGCGCUUCUGGGAAGGGCGAAGAGCAACGGCGGACCAGAAGCGGCACGUCUUUUAACGUCAUAAAGACGAGGGAACCAACCCGAAGCGGGAUAUUCAUUCCCAACAACAUAAACCCGCUUACCUGUCGCCCGACCAGAUUUUAAACACAUCCGUCAAUCGGCCCCGAACGAUGUUUAAUUAGAGGAAAAAGGCACACGGAUGUUCAAUUAAACACGGGAGUCCACACAAGUCUUGCCUCUUGUUUGAAUUGGCCCACAUUGUUUGCCGAGCAACAACCGUUGCCCCGGGCAACACCGUCCACUCCCGUUUCCAGGAGCCUGUUGCUACGCGACCGGCAGAAUACUUCCCAAACCAAACAAU
rnacentral:lncRNA from 1 species